GAGCGGCAAGAAGUAGCAAUANUUCNUAGAGCGGCGGAUUGGUGAGUAACGCGUGGGUAACCUGCCUUGAGGAUUGGGAUAGCCGUUAGAAAUAGCGGGUAAUACCGAAUACGUUCAGUUUGUUACGGCAGAUUGAGCAAAGGAGCCACGGCUCCGCCUUGAGAUGGGCCCGCGUCCUAUUAGGUAGUUGGCGGGGUAAGAGCCCACCAAGCCUAUGAUAGGUAGCCGGCCUGAGAGGGCGAACGGCCACACUGGGACUGAGAUGCGGCCCAGANUNCCUACGGGAGGCAGCAGCUAAGAAUAUUCCGCAAUGGGCGAAAGCCUGACGGAGCGACGCCGCGUGGGCGAGGAAGGCCGAAAGGUUGUAAAGCCCUUUUGCGGAUGAAGAAUAAGGCUGGGAGGGAAUGCCCGGCGGAUGACGAUAGNCCGUGAAUGGGCCCCGGC
rnacentral:rRNA from 1 species